CUCACCAUGGUGUAGUUGGUUAUCACGUCGGGCUGUAAUGGAUCGCAUCCGUAAUUACCUGAAGGUCACCGGCUCGACUCCGGUUGGUGAGA